rnacentral:rRNA from 1 species
AAUAUUGGACAAUGGAGGCAACUCUGAUCCAGCCAUGCCGCGUGCAGGAAGACUGCCCUAUGGGUUGUAAACUGCUUUUAUAGAGGAAGAAACCGCUCUACGUGUAGAGCUCUGACGGUACUCUACGAAUAAGGAUCGGCUAACUCCGUGCCAGCAGCCGCGGUAAUACGGAGGAUCCAAGCGUUAUCCGGAAUCAUUGGGUUUAAAGGGUCCGUAGGCGGGCUUAUAAGUCAGUGGUGAAAGUUUGCGGCUCAACCGUAAAAUUGCCAUUGAUACUGUAGGUCUUGAAUCAUUGUGAAGUGGUUAGAAUGUGUAGUGUAGCGGUGAAAUGCAUAGAUAUUACACAGAAUACCGAUUGCGAAGGCAGAUCACUAACAAUUGAUUGACGCUCAGGGACGAAAGCGUGGGUAGCGAACAGGAUUAGAUACCCUGGUAGUCCACGCCGUA